rnacentral:rRNA from 1 species
UACGAAGGGGGCUAGCGUUGCUCGGAAUCACUGGGCGUAAGGGGUGCGUAGGCGGAUCUUUAAGUCAGGGGUGAAAUCCUGGAGCUCAACUCCAGAACUGCCUUUGAUACUGAGGAUCUCGAGUUCGGGAGAGGUGAGUGGAACUGCGAGUGUAGAGGUGAAAUUCGUAGAUAUUCGCAAGAACACCAGUGGCGAAGGCGGCUCACUGGCCCGAUACUGACGCUGAGGCACGAAAGCGUGGGGAGCAAACAGGG